rnacentral:rRNA from 1 species
UGGAGAGUUUGAUCCUGGCUCAGGACGAACGCUGGCGGCGUGCCUAAUACAUGCAAGUCGUACGCUUCUUUUUCCACCGGAGCUUGCUCCACCGGAAAAAGAAGAGUGGCGAACGGGUGAGUAACACGUGGGUAACCUGCCCAUCAGAAGGGGAUAACACUUGGAAACAGGUGCUAAUACCGUAUAACAAUCGAAACCGCAUGGYUUUGAUUUGAAAGGCGCUUUCGGGUGUCGCUGAUGGAUGGACCCGCGGUGCAUUAGCUAGUUGGUGAGGUAACGGCUCACCAAGGCYACGAUGCAUAGCCGACCUGAGAGGGUGAUCGGCCACAUUGGGACUGAGACACGGCCCAAACUCCUACGGGAGGCAGCAGUAGGGAAUCUUCGGCAAUGGACGAAAGUCUGACCGAGCAACGCCGCGUGAGUGAAGAAGGUUUUCGGAUCGUAAAACUCUGUUGUUAGAGAAGAACAAGGAUGAGAGUAACUGUUCAUCCCUUGACGGUAUCUAACCAGAAAGCCACGGCUAACUACGUGCCAGCAGCCGCGGUA